AAAAAAAAGAAAAAGAAGAAAGGGAAAGAAAAAAGGAGUCUGUUGUAGCUGCAUAUUUGGCGCCCAAUGUGACAUUUGUGGCUUGAAGGAUGAAGGGUCUGCUGGAGAAGGACAGAGGAGCCAGCCAUCUUAAGAACUGGAAGGAAGCGCUCUCAGUGUAAGGGGACUCCAGGAUUGGCAAAGUCAUUGGAAACUUCCCAUCUCAGGAGCAACGGAGAAUAUAAAUUGUGGAUCCUGUCAAAUUGAAAAAACAUCCAACAUGAGCAAGAGACAUCUCCAAGAUACUGCAGAUGCAGGGAUGCCUCUGCCAAAUUUAACACACAGGAGACCUUUGCAACAAACAACUAAUUCUCUCACCUGGGGACAGCUUACGAGUUUGUGUGACAAAGGAGAGAUGAUCCUUCACAUGACUCACAAGCCUCUAAAUGCUACAAACUUAUUUCUUGGCAUGCUUUCUGUGGUAAUGGUGCAGGUAAAGGGAUGGAUCAUAAUCAUUGGGCUUUUAUCCCCAAUCUUCCAAUUAACAUAGCAGUAAGUUGGGGAGAUAUGAAUAUUCCUGUAGUGGUGAAUGAAUCUUCUUGGCUACCUCAUCCUUAUGACAACUGAGGUCCUGCUCAGCCAAUGGAGGAGGGUAAAAAGAUUGACAAUUACACUGGUUGGAGUACAAGGAAUUCCUAUUUGCAUGAGAAAUGGAAUUCAACACCUAAAUAAAACAUCUCAGGUAUGGCUAUCCAUAGUCAAGACUACCCAAGAUUAUCAUAAUACAGUUUGUAUACUUCAUGCAUCUGGUUUUAAAGAACAGGAGAUUAAUGCUUCUAGUUCCAUAAAUCUACCAUUCUGUGAUGAGGGUGACCAACAAGGAAUCUCAGUGGGUAUAUUGACAAUAGUGUAAGAAUGAGAGGCCUCAAGUGCUAAUUAAUAUCUCCAAAGGAGAUGCCAUGGCUCCCCUCAAGGAAAAUAUUCUCACUCAGAGUUAAGAUGGAAAUGGUUUAGUUUGAAUGGAACUGUGGAAAUCAGUGCUUCAGUUAAUGAAGCUGUUUGGUGGCAUGGAGUUGGAAUGGUAACCCCUUUCCUACAAUUUGGCAAUUCAAUUCAGACUAAUUUGUGGAAAUUGGCAAGUGCCUUCCACCCUCUUAAGGCAUGGGAAGGAAAAUUAAACACUAAGGAUGAUAAGUACACUCUGUCUUUUAGACUAAAUCAACUCCAUCCUUUUAUGGCAUGCGUACCAUUACCUUACUUGCUACUAAAAGGGCCUGAACAAUGGCACCCUAAUAAUUACAGCAUUACUUGCGAAUGCUGUGCCCUUCAUACCUAUGCUAAUUCUAUCAAGUUUUUAAAAUUUGACCUAUGAAAGUUUAUAUAUUCUUAGAGCAAGGCCAGUAAUCUGGAUACCAGUGAAGUUUUCAAGGCCACGGCAAGACACUGAUGUGAUGAUCCUGGUACAGAAGCUCGCUGAAAUAAUAUUAAAAAGAACACAUCGAAUGGGUGAACUGGUUGUUUCAGUUAUUAUGGGAAUCAUUGUAUUGACAGCUAUAGCAAUAACAGCUGGAAUGGGGCUUCAUAAAGAAAUUCAAACUGCUGAACUUAUUAAAUUGGCAUAAACAUUGAGAAAAACUUUGGACUGAGCAAAAUAAGAUUGAUAAUGAGAUAGUAAAUGAAUUAGCAGAGUUAAGGCAAGCUGUUGUAUUGUUAGGGGAUCAGUUAGAAAUUUUGAAGGAGCAGAUAAAAUUAAAAUGUGAUUGGUAUGUUUCUUCCUAUUUUAUCACACUCUUUAGAUUUAGUGAAAGUAAGUAUGAUUGGGAUAAGGUUAAAAUGCAUUUGUUGGGUCACCCUAAUUCUUCUCAAAUGGUUUGUGAUUUAUAGAAAGAAAUUAAAGAAACUUUUGCAAAAAAGUUACCUGAUCUGACAGGAAUGGACAUUAUGGAAAGUCUUGCAGAUACCAUAACCUCAUUCAAUCCUACAAAUCACUUUAAUAGAUUUCUUAUUCUAGCAGGUGUUGCUCUUGUUCUAGCAAUAGUAACUUUAUUGGCUUUAAAAUGUGUUUUGGUAUACUUACAUAAGGUUGUAAGACAUAUAGA